UUGAAAAUGGAUUUACAACAGAAACGCGUGAAAUUUUCGAAGUUCAAAGUUUUGUACUUUCCAGACCUGCACAACGAAUUACCUAUUUGAAAAAUAGAAUAUGGUUAGAAAUUGCUGAUGUAAUAGAGGAUUCAAGUACCAUUUACAAACAAAAUAUUGAAGAGAAUGUGCUCAAAGGAAAUGCAUAUGAAUUCUUUUUUGUUGACCAGGAUGGAACAAUUCUUUGGAACCUAUAGUUAGAAUAAGUUAGUUAGGCCGUAGUGAUGUACCAGCCAGAAGUAGAGGAUGACAAAGAAAAUCAACUAUGAAUAAUAUUCCAUGGAUAUGAUUCAUGUAUGAUGUAGUAGCCUACAGAAGAAAGAGAUGGACUAAUCUAAGAAAUAUAUUCAUUUUUUCAGUA